GAUGAACGCUGGCGGCGUGCCUGAUACAUGCAAGUCGAGCGAACAGACGAGGAGCUUGCUCCUCUGACGUUAGCGGCGGACGGGUGAGUAACACGUGGAUAACCUACCUAUAAGACUGGGAUAACUUCGGGAAACCGGAGCUAAUACCGGAUAAUAUAUUGAACCGCAUGGUUCAAUAGUGAAAGACGGUUUUGCUGUCACUUAUAGAUGGAUCCGCGCCGCAUUAGCUAGUUGGUAAGGUAACGGCUUACCAAGGCAACGAUGCGUAGCCGACCUGAGAGGGUGAACGGCCACACUGGAACUGAGACACGGUCCAGACUCCUACGGGAGGCAGCAGUAGGGAAUCUUCCGCAAUGGGCGAAAGCCUGACGGAGCAACGCCGCGUGAGUGAUGAAGGUCUUCGGAUCGUAAAACUCUGUUAUUAGGGAAGAACAAAUGUGUAAGUAACUAUGCACGUCUUGACGGUACCUAAUCAGAAAGCCACGGCUAACUACGUG
rnacentral:rRNA from 1 species